AGCAGCGUCUAGGAUUCUUUUUAUAAACGUUUGGUAUGGUGUGUACUUAUCAUAGAGACGUCAGUGCUAUGAGUGAGGAAUUCCUCCUCAAUCUACUUUUUGGGGGGAAAAUGAAACCCACGUCAGCUAUGAUCGGGGAAUUCCACCUCAAUCUGCUUUUUGGAGAGAAAGACCGGUUUCAUUGGCUUGGUAGAGUGUGGUUUUGUGGGCUGAGCAGAAAUGUAGGUCAUUUAGGGGUAUGAAGAGGGAUCCUAGAGAGCUUUCGUUUUUAGCUCGCCUUCAUGUUUCCUUUAGACUUUUGUAAUUAUUCUAUAGAUCAUGUUGAUGAAGUGGAUCAAAUUUCAGGACUUUCUUCAACACAUAAAGCAGGUCUUCGAAAAGUGAUUGAAGAGCAUGAUAGUAAGUCAUGGAAAUUAUCUUGGAUUGCAUAGCAAGGGUACCGAAAGCAGACUGCUUAAUAUUCACUUCUUUAUAUUAGUUUGAAUCGAAAUGAUGGAAACUUUGAACUGGAAUUUCGAAUUCCUAUCUACCCGAUUGGUCCUGCUACACCCUAGUUUGAAAUUGAAGAGAACCUCGAGUAGGUAAUAACGAUGGCUACAAUGAUCAACAACGGUUGAAUCUCCAACCUCCGAACUCUGUGUUACACAUUUCAUUGGGAAGUUUCCUUUCGGUCAGAGCUUCCCAAAUGGGUGAAAUAGCUUCUUGACUAUGAAAUAGUGGUGUUCAGUUCUUAUGGGUGACCCGAGGGGAAGCUCCUCGGUUGAAGGAGCUAUGCGAAGAAAAGGGAUUAGUAGUGCCAUGGUGUGUACAAUUGAAGGUCUUGUGUCAUUCCUCGGUAGGUAGGUUUUGGAGUCAUUGUGGCUGGAAUUCAACUCUGGAAGCUGUUUAUGCAGGGAUUCCUAUGAUCACUUUUCUUCUAUUUUUUUGAUCAAACUCCCAACAGUACCCACAUUGUUGAAGACUGGAAGAUUGGGUGUAGGGUUAAAAGAACCAAGGUUGGAACUGAAACAUUAAUUGUAAAGGAAGAAAUAUCAGAGAUUGCCCAAAGGUUUAUGGAUCUCAGCAGCUCCAAGGGAAAGCAAAUGAGGGAUAGAGCCAAAAACCUAAAAGAUAUUUGUCACAGAGCAACAUGGCCAGGUGGAUCAUCUCGUCACAACCUGGAUGGAUUUAUAUGGAGCAUUUCAAAAGAUGACACCAAAUAGGAUGGAUUCCAUCUAGUCUAUUCUAUCUAAUACUUGGGAUUCUCAACCCAAUCAUUCCCUAAUGUUCUGACUGUAAGAUAAUGUGUUGAACCGACUGGCCUUUUUACUUCACUGUUGAGGGUUGGGACCAUAUUGUCAAAUAAUGAGGGUGCAUGUCAUUUAUUAUGUGACAGAUCUUUGAUGUAAGAAUUAUGCUGUAGAAUAAAUAAUUAGUUUACAAGAA